rnacentral:lncRNA from 13 species
GCAAAAUGUACCAGAGUGACACUUUGAAGGUGAGCAUAUAUAUUUCUUUAUUUCUUAGUUCUAACAUAGUCACAAUUUUAUAGUUUUCUACUUACUAGCUUGUAUCUGAACACAGAAACUUAGGUAAACUCCAAACAUCAUCAAGUGGAAUAUGAAAUAAUUAUAUAAGAGAAACUACUAUGAAUAUUAUAAAUACAUCUUUUCGAAUUAUAUAAUUUAUUUGUGAGUUUUUUCUAGGUAGCUCAAUAAGCUCUUUAAUAACUGUGAGCUGAAGACCAGGUGAAAUGAAGGGACUGAUGGAAGAACUCUUUGCAUCUGCAUUCAGCUCUGUGCUAUGCAGACAUGCAGAGCAUUGCUGCUGAGAAGAGGCUCCACAAACAUCCAACAGAAAUUAAAGUUACUCAUACGGGACUGGCCCAUUGGGACCUCCAAGGCAUUAAAACUCUCAUUCUCUUCUACCUUGUUUAUCUGACUGUGGUUAGCCAGCAUGCCACUCCUAGGGGGAUGAAGGCUGGAAAUAACCCUUCCAUCUACUACUACUAUGAGGUAUUCUGCCUAAACCUGCCCCUGUAAGUCUACUUAGAAAUUAGGAGUCCCAAGGACUUGACUUCUGUCAUAUAUAAAACUGAAGAUAUUUGUUCUCCAAGGAAUGUCUUACUUUCUAACUGAUUUUCAGGUUCAUUUGCAGUUGUCAAUACUGAUCUGUAAACACAAGCAUGAUUUAGCAUUUGUCUGUUUGCAAUUCUUUUUUUUUUUCUCCAUUUAGUUUUGAAUGCAGAGAUUGACCAGUGUUCUUUUAAGAUCAUCAUUCUAACAGAGCAUUUUGAGUCUGGUUAAGACAGCAUUUCUUACGGGUUUUGUUCUUUCUGUAGGUUCACCACCAACACCCAGAACAUUGUGUGACUCUCUCUUCACCCAAAUCUCUUAUUGGAUGAUUAAAAUGGGCACAUUUAAGUCCUGUGCUGUGGAAGUUGAAGUUUGCUGCAUUAUAAAUGAACAAGGUGCAAAAGCCGAGUCCAGUGAGCAGAUGUUGGGAGCUCAGCGUGCUGGUGACAAAGGGCUAGAGUGCAAGAAGCUUCCAUCGCACGUCUGUUCUUCAGCACAGAGCAGGCAAGGUUUUAAUUUGACAAGUUGGUUGGAUGCAGGGAAUUCACAGAUCUCGGUGAAAGCCAAACAGAUUUGGCCACCUACUGCAUGGCCACAUUCAGCUGAAAGGGUAGCAGUUGUGGAAAUGUCUCCUGCUCCAGCCGCCAGACACCACGCACACCACGGGGAGCCUCGAGGAGGCUUGUUUACCACAGGCGGCAAAUUCCUUUAA